rnacentral:tRNA from 2 species
GGGCCGGUAGCUCAGUUGGUAGAGCGCUACAUUUGCAAUGUAGAGGUCAUGGGUUCGAAUCCCAUUCGGUCCACCA